rnacentral:rRNA from 1 species
GACGAACCGAGCGAACGUUGUUCGGAAUCACUGGGCUUAAAGGGCGCGUAGGCGGGCUGUCAAGUCUGGGGUGAAAUCCCGCGGCUCAACCGUGGAACUGCCUCAGAUACUGACGGUCUCGAGGGGGAUAGGGGCGAGCGGAACUAAUGGUGGAGCGGUGAAAUGCGUUGAUAUCAUUAGGAACUCCGGUGGCGAAGGCGGCUCGCUGGAUCUCUUCUGACGCUGAGGCGCGAAAGCCAGGGGAGCAAACGGG